rnacentral:rRNA from 1 species
AUUGAACGCUGGCGGCAGGCCUAACACAUGCAAGUCGAGCGAGCGGCGGACGGGUGAGUAAUGUAUGGGGACUGCCCGAUAGAGGGGGAUAACUACUGGAAAAGGUGGCUAAUACCGCAUACUAUCGGAUAACCCAUAUGGGAUUAGCUAGUAGGUGGGGUAAAGGCGCACCUAGGCGACGAUCCCUAGCUGGGCUGAGAGGAUGAUCGGCAACACUGGGACUUGGACACGGCCCAGACUCCUACGGAGGCAGCAGUGGGGAAUAUUGCACAAUGGGCGAAAGCCUGAUGCAGCAAUGCCGCGUGUAUGAAGAAGGCCUUAGGGUUGUAAAGUACUUUUGUCGGGGAGGCGUUACCUGAAGAAGAAGCAACGGCUAACUCCGUGCCAGCAGCCGCGGUAAUAC